CAGGGAGAGGACAAUUGGAAGCUCUAUCCGUGGACGCCUCCUGGAUUCGGCCCUAUUCAAGUUGAACUCUUAAAGAGGUGGAACAAAGAACAAAGUAAAUUGGAAGCCAAAUUUGUCGUUUUCCUUCUUCUUUUCCAACUUAAGUCCAGUAACACUAAACAGAUGGAAGAUCAUAAGGAGGAUCCGCCGGACUUACGACAGGCUGCAGUCUAAACCUGGCCUAUUUGGAUAUGUGCAAGGUCACCAGUGUGCCAUGGCGGAGCCGUUCCUCUACAACUUGCUGCUCACUGCCCCAAUCUGCAGAGUCACUCAUCUCUUCCAAUCUGCAAUGAGACUUGCUUCAU